AAGACUAUACUUUCAGGGAUUAUUUCUAUAGUUGGUUACUAGAAGAGUUUCUCUGAAUGUGUAGAGCACUGAAAACCAUAAGGAAGAGGCACAGUGUUCUCUCCUGAGUGUGAAGCCCACUCUUGGUGUUGCUUCACUACAACUACCAUUUUUUAUUGAUGAUCAUUCUCUUCCUUUCGUAGAGUAAGAGGGAGAAAAUGCAAUCUGAGUGGA
ensembl:snoRNA U3 Small nucleolar RNA U3